UACGUAGGGCGCAAGCGUUGUCCGGAAUUAUUGGGCGUAAAGAGCUCGUAGGCGGUCUGUUACGUCCGCUGUGAAAACCCAGGGCUUAACCCUGGGCUUGCAGUGGAUACGGGUAGACUAGAGGCAGGUAGGGGAGAAUGGAAUUCCCGGUGUAGCGGUGAAAUGCGCAGAUAUCGGGAGGAACACCAGUAGCGAAGGCGGCUCGCUGGGCCAUUCCUGACGCUGAGACGCGAAAGCUAGGGGAGCGAACAGG
rnacentral:rRNA from 1 species